rnacentral:tRNA from 1 species
AGGAUAGUAGUUAAUAAUAACAUUUGAAUUGCACUCAAAAAGUACUAAAAUUUUAGUCUAUCUUG